AGGAUCUGAGCCAGAGAAAGCCUGGGCCGCCGAAGUGGAGUGCACGAACUUAACUACUUGGCCAGGGGCUGGCCCCUCAAGGUCCCUAUUUAGUGGCAGAGCUGGGAUUAGAACCCACCUCACCUCACUCAGGGGCCAGUCCUUCGUUGUGUACCGUGUUUGCGUUUAGUAAUCUCUGAUGAUUUCAGCCACAUGACAAGACAGCAGAUGUAUUCAUCAUUCAUUAGUAGAUGCUGAUGCUACUGUGCUGCCUCACGGACUCCUCUGGGUCUCAGUUUCCCCUUAUGUAAGAUGAGGGAGUUGGGCGAGACGGUCUUUAGGGUCUCUCAACCAUGCACAUCUGUGACUCCAGAUAGGGUGACCAACCAUCCUGGUCUGCCUGGGACUGAGAGGUUUCCCUGGACACGGGGACACUUCCAAUGUUGAAACCAGGAUGAGUUCAUCCUAACUCCAGUCUUCCUCUCCUCUUCAUUUCCACCAUAACACUGAACACCUAAGAUUGAACGUAACCCUGCGAAAGAAUUCAAUGUGAAGUUAGUAAAGAAAAAGUCACGACCACAUGGCCUCUUCACGUCUUCAUUCGUCCUUCUUCUCCCUUAGCAGUCUCCUAUCUGAAAGCUGUUUUGCAAACCUGCUUUUAAUUAUCUCCUUCUGUGGUUUUAGGUUCAUAUAAAGCUGCUGACCAGCCAUCUCACGGGGAAGAAACCAGUAUUUCCAUAGUCCCACCACCUGGCCUUGUCAGCACUGUCCCUUGACACAGAAAGGGGAAUGGACUUAGGGCUGCCCCCUAGGGGUGGCGGCAACCGUGUGAUGAGAUGCGACAAAGAGCUACACACAAACCGGAAGGUAGGAGGUAACCUCUGCACCCAGCACCACUUGUUAAGUGUCAGAGCAGAUCUUUUGAAUGGCAGUCGAGUUUACUUAGAGGUCCUUUCUUCAAGAAGACACUCUAUCCAUUUUCUGAAGCCCAUUCCAGGCUGCCUCGGGAAUAAAUUUGCCCCGCAUCUCGCACACAAAAAAACGUCUUUUUCCUCCACAUCUUGACUAUGCGCCUUUGUCUCAAGG
rnacentral:lncRNA from 1 species